AACCUAGCACACCUGCGGUGUGUACCUGCGGAAGGAUCAUUACCGAGUUAGGGUGUCUGUUCGCAGCGCCCGACCUUCCAACCCUUUGUCUAUGAUACCUAAACAGUUGCUUCGGCGUGCCGAGGGGUCGUACCCUCGCCGGGCCUCACGGCCGGGAGCGCGCACGUCGACGGCCUUUAUCUAACACUUGAACCCAAAACCUGUCGUCUGAAAACUUGUGAUUAACCAAUAAUCAAAAAC
rnacentral:misc_RNA from 1 species